rnacentral:sRNA from 1 species
UUUUUUUUUUUUUGAAAUCCAGGAGGUUCUGGGCCGAAGCCCGUAAUCCUCCCAGACCCGAAACCACAUCAUGUAAUAUUAGUUUCGUCCCAAGCGUCACUCGAACCGAUGACCUCUAAGCUUCGUCUAGAGUCUUUACCAAUUGAGCUAACGACAUUUGGUUCUAAUGUUGCUUUUGAGAGAGAUUGCAAGGAGUUGAUUAAAAUUUUGGAUAUUCUGGAUGAGUGGUGGCAUUUGCUUCAGAAUUAGAAGAUUUCACUAUUUUAAUCCUUGGUUUUCCUCAUUUCUCUUUAUCUUUUAUUCCACUUUUAAACAAUGUCCGUACAGAUUCUCUCGAUGGAAUACAAGAUCACGUGAUUCUAUAUUUUUCCAUUUAAAC